AUCAAGCCAUCGAUUAGGGGAAUGCUGUCAUCUAGUUGGCAGCGAUUAGGCUGCUGGCUUUGGCACCCAGUCAACAACUAAUUCACAUGCUAAUGUCUUCCAGAUCAGGUCUCGCCCCCAAACUGGUUCUCCUUAUUGACUUGAUUCCCUGAUUGGACAGAUGGCCACCUUUCAAUAUCACAGACGUCUGUUUGUGUUUAGGCUCGGGGUACGGGUGGCGAGGGGUUGUCAAGAAGGGGGCGGGGUUGGCAGGGAUGAUUCCCAAGCUUAUGAAUAAACAACAACAAUCAUCAAGAUAAACAACAACAUUAUCUGGCAUCUGAACCUUGACGACGAUCCAUUAUGGCCAUUACUGUCAUAUCGUGUGCUACAGUCGGCUUUUAAUUGCUCCUAUUCACUAUUGAGAAUGGGGUGGGGGGGUGUUCACAGACACUGUAUCAGUCGACGCUCUUAAUUGAUUUGUCCUCAAGCUUGCCAAGACCGCAGUCUCUACAGUUGAGUGCGCUGAAACCUAUCAAAGCGGAGUGAGGAGUGAAGGCAUGAGCACCCAGGACAAAACCUCUGCAGUUGCAGAGAGGAAAAGAAAAGGGGGGUGAUGUUAAAAAAAAUAAAAAUAAAAAAAUAGAGCAUUUUCAUUUCUCCCAGCCUUCCUCCUCCCCCACACACAUUUCUCUCCCUCACCUCUUGCUCUGCUCUUUCUCUCUGCGCUCUCGCUCUCCAUUUUCGUGCCUGGCAGCAGUCUUUCUCAGGAGACUUUCUCUGCAGUUGUGUGAGGAGAAUGUCAGUCUUGUGUAGUUAGGGAGUGUAUGUGUGUGUGUGUGCUUAGAUCUUUGUGUCUGUGUAUGUUUCUGUGUCUGCCUCUACGAGAAAUGUCCCCUGGAUGUGCUCAUUAGCAAAACACCAGUGCGUAUGGCUCCCCAGAACAAGGCAUUGUGGGUACUGCCACUGUCUGUCUCAGCUCUGUGAGUUCAUAAGCAACUAAUGAACAGAUUCAGGCAUGAGCACAGGGCAGCACAGGCACAUCUGUAUCUUUGUGAGGACACUUAUGGAGGGCAUUCUUCAAUAUAGCCUCUUACCCAAACUAGAACCAUCACCAUAAACGCCCAAAGCUGAAUCUAAUCUGAACUCUCAAACAGCCCUUUGAAGACGUGUCAGAUAGUGAAGACUAUGAUGUACACACUUUCGAAAAAAAGAAAAACCCCAAAUGUUCCAAGGUUUAACAAACCGGUCCUCACAAAGCCAGAUUUACCCACACACAAACACACAUAGACACACAAAGAGAAGAAAGUAAAGACUUUGAAUGACCUUUCAUAGACACAAGACUUUAAGAAAAACUAGUUUUUCUAAAAGUCUCUGCAAACUUAAUAUUCUGUUUUCUGUGUGGAUAGAAUGAAGCUUUGUGAUGUACUAAAAAAAAACUGCAUAAUAUCAGAUGGCGUUAGCGCAGCAGCUAGACUUUUACCUUGUGCAUUAAUUCAGUAUUCA
ensembl:lncRNA